AGCCCGGUGGUGUAGCCUCCUAGCACGGUUGUGGCUAGGUGGCAUAGCCGGGGCUCUGGACCCUGGGACCCAGGUUCGAAUCCUGGCCGGGCUACCA
rnacentral:tRNA from 1 species